CAGUGAGAAUACAGCAAUCUUUAGAAGCACUCUGUAAAAGCACUUUCUUUAUGUCAUCUAAGGUAUACGUGCCAGAGAAUAUCAUAUAUGUAAUAUGUAACCUUUCUGUCUGCUAGUUUGACUUUUUGGACGAAAUUUUUUCAUAUGUGACGUAAGGUAUUUCAACAUGUUGGAAUCUUUUUCUGUAUUACACAGUAGUCUGAUGGUUCAGAAGUGGUUAUGAAACGGUGUAAUAGGUGUGUUCAAAAUAAAAGGAUUUCCUGCAAUAGAACCAUAUGGCAGUAAUGGAAUGGAGAAACAGAAUAGUAAGUCUAAAGAAGCAGUGCCAGAGGACACUGUGACAGUGGAUGCUGUCCAUCCACGUUUGUUAAACAAAUCAAGUCAGCAAGAACCAUCUAGGUUAACAUCAAGUGAUGAAGUUGCAUAUUGCAUACAAUGUGAAGAAAGUAUUGUAAAUACUGUUGCUGCCAUAAGAAACCAUUUUUUGAGAACACCACAUGAAAGUCUACCAUGUUUGUAUUGCCAUGGCCCUGCGUACAAAUACAUUUCCAGAUCUGAGAAAAUUUACCAUGAAUGCAUUUUGAAUGCUGCCCAAGAAGAGGAUUCUAAUAACAGUGAUUCCUCAAGCUUGUCAAAAGACAAGGAUAUUGAUAGCAGUGAGACAGAAAGCACAUCGAGUGCUAAAAAUAUUAAAACUGCAGGCUUAUUGUGUGAGAAAAAUACUGACUCGCACAGUUUGAAUGAUUUUUCCAAUGUUGAAAACACAUAAUUAUACCUUCACAUUGUGAAUUUACUUUAAUUUGAAAUACUCAUGUUACUCAUGUUAAAAGUAAUGAAGUACAUGCAGCAAUGGAAAUUUCUCAGCAUUCAGAAACAAAAAAGUUGAUCUAUUGAUGAACUGUGUGAUCAUAGAAUGUAAAAUAGUGGGCUGUAGAUAUGACAGCCAGAGUUGGUUGUACAUCCAAGAAGCUCCUGAUGCCCACCCAGAUUCCUAUAUAAUGCUGUAUAUUGCUGUGUGUAUGUCAUAAGAAGGUAAAGGUUGUUUGUAAAGCCCAGAGGCAACUUUUGCUUUUUACCCUACUCUGGUUUCUUCCUUUUGAUAUUGUAAAUGGAUGCUUAUGGGUUUCUAAGGUUUCUCACCAUUUGAAACAGGUACACUGGAGUCUGACUAAUGUUUCAGUUGUUCUUUCAGUAAGGACUUCUCUGUAACAAAUUUAAAAAAUAACCUUUGUAAUACUGAAGCUAUGUCAGGUAUUAAGUGCUUUUGUUGUUAGUAUGUUGUAUUUUCCUGGUCGUGAGAUAUUUGAAACCUUCUUUCAGGGUUUAUCUAACUGUGUAAGCCUAGUGUAUUGUUAAGUUUAGCUUCUAUCAGAUGAAAUAUGCUGCACUCUGCUGAUAGCUAAACCCUAUUAAACUACAAACACUUGCCUUUUGCACAUUCCCUUGAAUUUAAAUUUCUGUUGGGAUAGUACAUUCAUGCUUCCUUGUUCAGGAUUUCCUCCUGCAUAAUGUGACAGUAGCAUAGUUUGUCAUGUAGAUGCAUUUUAUGAUCUGAUAUAAUUUAUUUCCCCAAAUAAAUUAAGAUGCUGAUGACAACUGGAAAAUAUGUCGUAACGCCAAAAAACGAAUCUGAAACCAUGAAUCUGUGUGGAGGACAUAUCUUGUAUUUGACUUUCCUUUGUAUAUUCAUAUGCAGUCUGUAACCGUAAUCUGUUAACUAUUAUUAUAAUCUCUUGUUAUCAUAAGUGGGGAUCUGACUUUGUAAUCAAUGAUACUCGAGCAGUACUUGAGCAGUACGAAAUAAUCUCACGUAACUAGUUUUAAGGCGCUAAUUUUCACCCCAGUGUUGGAAUAUGUUAAUUUAUUGCAUGUCCUGAAAAAUAUGAAUUUUUACAUGUCUAGUAAUUGAAUUGCCUUGUAUAUUUUGUAAUUUCUGCAACAAAAUGUUAGUUAAAAUUAAAUGUAGCCACAAUGUGUCUUUUUUGUUUGUGACUAUUGCCAUUAAAAUUGAAAAUCUCUGGAAUAAUGGAUCCUAGAUCCUAAUAUACUCGUAUAUGAUAUUUGGUAGCAUGUAUUAUAAUAUUUUGCUCAUUUUCUUUGUUUCCUAUUUGGGGAGAUGUGAUAUAUAAAGGAUUCUCUUUUUAAAGUCACUGUUAUGCAGUGUUUGAGUUCAAGAGUUGUUUGCAAGUAUUCAAAGAGUGUAUUUUGUAUUUGAAUUUCUGACAGCUGUAGAAUUUAUGUUGUGACACACUUAUGGAAACACAAUACAUAAUACAAUUCUGAUAUAAAUAUA